GCCAAUGUGGUGCAGUGGUUUGAGUGUUGGACUGUGACGUUGGAGACCAGGGUUCGAAUCCCAGCUUGGCU